rnacentral:rRNA from 1 species
UACGUAGGGACCAAGCGUUGUUCGGAUUUACUGGGCGUAAAGGGCGCGUAGGCGGCGUGACAAGUCACUUGUGAAAUCUCGGGGCUUAACUCCGAAACUGCAUUCGAUACUGCCGUGCUUGAGGACUGGAGAGGAGACUGGAAUUUACGGUGUAGCGGUGAAAUGCGUAGAGAUCCGGAGGAACACCAGAGGCGAAGGCGGCCGGCUGGACCUGACCUGACGCUGAGGCAC